GACGAACGCUGGCGGCGUGCUUAACACAUGCAAGUCGAACGGAAAGGCCCUGCUUUUGUGGGGUGCUCGAGUGGCGAACGGGUGAGUAACACGUGAGUAACCUGCCCUUGACUUUGGGAUAACUUCAGGAAACUGGGGCUACUACCGGAUAGGAGCCCCUGCUGCAUGGUGGGGGUUGGAACGUUUCGGCGGUUGGGGAUGGACUCGCGGCUUAUCAGCUUGUUGGUGGGGUAGUGGCUUACCAAGGCUUUGACGGGUAGCCGGCCUGAGAGGGUGACCGGCCACAUUGGGACUGAGAGACGGCCCAGACUCCUACGGUAGGCAGCAGGGGGGAAUAUUGCACAAUGGGCGGAAGCCGGAUGCAGCAGCGCCGCGGGCGGGAUGACGGCCUGCGGGGUAUAAACCGCUUUCGCCUGUGACGAAGCGUGAGUGACGGUAAUGGGUAAAGAAGCACCGGCUAACUACGUG
rnacentral:rRNA from 1 species